rnacentral:rRNA from 1 species
AGGAUGAACGCUAGUCGUGUGCUUUACACAUGCGAGUUGAAUGGAGUAAUACGAAGAAAAAAACCUUUCAUUCUGGUCAAUCGUAAGGAAGCCAAAUAGAUGUUGAAACUUAUUUUCAGAAUAGAGCCGUCUUCGUAGGAUUAGGUUGUUGGUAGGGUAAAAGCCUACCAAGCCGAUGAUCCUUAGUUGGUCUGCAAGGAUGAUCAGCCACACUGGGACUGAGACAAGGCCCAGGCUUCCGAUGAAGCCAGCAGUGAGGAAUCUUGGACAAUGAGCGAAAGCUUGAUCCAGCAACACAACGUGAGGAAUGAAGGCUUCUAUGGUGUAAAGCUCUUUCGUUCAGGAUGACAGUACUGAAAGAAGAAGUCCCGGCCAACUUCGUGCCAGCAGCCGCGGUAAUACGGAGGGGGCGAGCGUUAUCCAUCAUGAUUGGGCGUAAAGAGUCCGUAGGCGGCACUGGUGGUGGUUUGUCAAAUUCCCCAGCUUCACCGGGGCACGGCGCUCCAGACACUUGGGCUUGAGUGAGAAAGACGAUCAUGGAAUUUCCCAUGUAGGGGUGGUAUCCGAACAUAUGGGAAGGAACAUCAACGGUGAAGACAAUGAUCGAGUCUGGCACUGACGCUGAGGGACGAAAGCGUGGGGAGCAAACAGGAUUAGAGACCCUGGUAGUCCACGCUGUAAAUGAUGAGUGCUAUCACUAAGUGAUACAGCUAAGGCGUUAAGCACUCCGCC